UAUAUCAGAACAAAGUUGAAAUACUCACACAAAAGGAAAUUCGAUUUCACAAAGAAAUACGAAUCCACAACUCAACUGGGGAAGAAAGUCUUCAAUACAGGAGUAAAAGAGAAAUGUUAUCUACCACCGGUUACUGUGUAGGAAGAUAAUAUACUCGGACAUAGGGACAUCUGUUACUGAUUAAGGUAAACAUAUCAAGGAUGAUUCGCUGAGGGAAAAUGAG
rnacentral:lncRNA from 1 species